GACGAACGCUGGCGGCGUGCUUAACACAUGCAAGUCGAACGGAAAGGCCCUGCUUGCAGGGUACUCGAGUGGCGAACGGGUGAGUAACACGUGGGUGAUCUGCCCUGCACUUCGGGAUAAGCCUGGGAAACUGGGUCUAAUACCGGAUAGGAGCCAUUUUUAGUGUGAUGGUUGGAAAGUUUUUCGGUGUAGGAUGGGCUCGCGGCCUAUCAGCUUGUUGGUGGGGUAAUGGCCUACCAAGGCGGCGACGGGUAGCCGGCCUGAGAGGGUGGACGGCCACAUUGGGACUGAGAUACGGCCCAGACUCCUACGGGAGGCAGCAGUGGGGAAUAUUGCACAAUGGGCGCAAGCCUGAUGCAGCGACGCCGCGUGGGGUAUGACGGCCUUCGGGUUGUAAACUCCUUUCGCUAGGGACGAAGCUUUUUGCGACGGUACCUAGAUAAGAAGCACCGGCUAACUACGUG
rnacentral:rRNA from 1 species